AGACCCGAAACCCGGUGAUCUAGCCAUGGGCAGGUUGAAGGUUGGGUAACACUAACUGGAGGACCGAACCGACUAAUGUUGAAAAAUUAGCGGAUGACCUGUGGCUGGGGGUGAAAGGCCAAUCAAACCGGGAGAUAGCUGGUUCUCCCCGAAAGCUAUUUAGGUAGCGCCUCGUGAAUUCAUCUCCGGGGGUAGAGCACUGUUUCGGCUAGGGGGCCAUCCCGGCUUACCAACCCGAUGCAAACUGCGAAUACCGGAGAAUGUUAUCACGGGAGACACACGGCGGGUGCUAACGUCCGUCGUGAAGAGGGAAACAACCCAGACCGCCAGCUAAGGUCCCAAAGUCAUGGUUAAGUGGGAAACGAUGUGGGAAGGCCCAGACAGCCAGGAUGUUGGCUUAGAAGCAGCCAUCAUUUAAAGAAAGCGUAAUAGCUCACUGGUCGAGUCGGCCUGCGCGGAAGAUGUAACGGGGCUAAACCAUGCACCGAAGCUGCGGCAGCGAACGUAUCACCCAAGACAACUUUGCGGAGUUGACGAUUGACGGAGCGAAGCGACGUCAAAGCGUUCAUUAAAGUCGAGUUGGCUUAGGGAUACGUUCGUUGGGUAGGGGAGCGUUCUGUAAGCCUGUGAAGGUGGCCUGUGAGGGUUGCUGGAGGUAUCAGAAGUGCGAAUGCUGACAUAAGUAACGAUAAAGCGG
rnacentral:rRNA from 1 species